GACAGAGGUGCCGAGCGUUAGGCGGAAUCACUGGGCUUAAAGCGCGCGUAGGCGGCCCGAUAAGUCCGCUGUGAAAGUCAACGGCUCAACUGUUGGAUGCCGGUGGAUACUGUCGGGCUAGAGUACGGAAGAGGCAAGUGGAAUUCCUGGUGUAGCGGUGGAAUGCGCAGAUAUCAGGAGGAACACCUAUAGCGAAGGCAGCUUGCUGGGACGUUACUGACGCUAAGGCGCGAAAGCGUGGGGGAGCGAACAGG
rnacentral:rRNA from 1 species